rnacentral:lncRNA from 1 species
AACUUCUAAAAAAAAAAGAAAAAAAGAAAAGGACACACGCAAGUUGUUGUCUAGCUUUCUCUAGGGCAAUAUAUAAAACAGAUGGUGACAUGGCUUGCCCAUCCAUCCACCACAUGCAGGGGUCAAUAUUUUUUGCUCUAGGCGGCGAUUCUAGAUUUUUGGGGGUCACUUGACCACAUUUGCUCUUAUGUGGAUCUGCCAUUAGAUCUAGGAACUCUUUACUCAAGAGUUAAUUUUUUUUAUUUUUUUAAACAAAAGAUUAUCUUAAAAUCUAAACUGAUAUUAUUAUCAUUCAUUAGUCAAG